GACGAACGCUGGCGGCGUGCUUAACACAUGCAAGUCGAACGGUGAAGCUCCAGCUUGCUGGCGUGGAUCAGUGGCGAACGGGUGAGUAACACGUGAGCAACCUGCCCCAGACUCUGGAAUAAGCGCUGGAAACGGCGUCUAAUACUGGAUACGAGAUCAAGCCGCAUGGUUAUGGUCUGGGAAGUUUUUCGGUUUGGGAUGGGCUCGCGGCCUAUCAGCUUGUUGGUGAGGUAAUGGCUCACCAAGGCGACGACGGGUAGCCGGCCUGAGAGGGCGACCGGCCACACUGGGACUGAGAGACGGACCAGACUCCUACGGGAGGCAGCAGUGGGGAAUAUUGCACAAUGGGCGAAAGCCUGAUGCAGCGACGCCGCGUGAGGGAUGACGGCCUUCGGGUUGUAAACCUCUUUCAGCAGGGAAGAAGCGAAAGUGACGGUACCUGCAGAAGAAGCACCGGCUAACUACGUG
rnacentral:rRNA from 1 species